CCUACGGGAGACAGCAGUGGGGAAUAUUGCACAAUGGGGGAAACCCUGAUGCAGCGACGCCGCGUGAGUGAAGAAGUAUUUCGGUACGUAAAGCUCUAUCAGCAGGGAAGAAAAUGACGGUACCUGACUAAGAAGCCCCGGCUAACUACGUGCCAGCAGCCGCGGUAAUACGUAGGGGGCAAGCGUUAUCCGGAUUUACUGGGUGUAAAGGGAGCGUAGACGGCAGCGCAAGUCUGGAGUGAAAUCCCAUGGCUUAACCAUGGAACUGCUUUGGAAACUGUGCAGCUAGAGUGCAGGAGAGGUAAGCGGAAUUCCGAGUGUAGCGGUGAAAUGCGUAGAUAUUAGGAGGAACACCAGUGGCGAAGGCGGCUUACUGGACUGUAACUGACGUUGAGGCGCGAAAGCGUGGGGAGCAAACAGGAUUAGAUACCCGAGUAGUC
rnacentral:rRNA from 1 species